rnacentral:rRNA from 1 species
GACGAACGCUGGCGGCGUGCUUAACACAUGCAAGUCGAACGGAAAGGCCCUGCUUUUGUGGGGUGCUCGAGUGGCGAACGGGUGAGUAACACGUGAGUAACCAGCCCUUGACUUUGGGAUAACUUCAGGAAACUGGGGCUAAUACCGGAUAGGAGCUCCUGCUGCAUGGUGGGGGUUGGAAAGUUUCGGCGGUUGGGGAUGGACUCGCGGCUUAUCAGCUUGUUGGUGGGGUAGUGGCUUACCAAGGCUUUGACGGGUAGCCGGCCUGAGAGGGUGACCGGCCACAUUGGGACUGAGAUACGGCCCAGACUCCUACGGGAGGCAGCAGUGGGGAAUAUUGCACAAUGGGCGGAAGCCUGAUGCAGCAACGCCGCGUGCGGGAUGACGGCCUUCGGGUUGUAAACCGCUUUCGCCUGUGACGAAGCGUGAGUGACGGUAAUGUGUAAAGAAGCACCGGCUAACUACGUG